rnacentral:tRNA from 1 species
GUCAGGGUGGCCGAGUGGUCUAAGGCGCCAGACUCAAGGACUAAAGGACCUUCCUAAGCAAAGGGACUUCUGGUCUCCAAAUGGAGGCGUGGGUUCAAAUCCCACUCCUGACA